UUCGACUCCCUGUAUUGAUCAUCUUUGAAUGAUAUCAUGUCAUUGUAUCCCUAUAUGCCCAAAAUCAUACAUUACAAUAUAAAUAUAUUUUACACUUAAUUCACAUCGACAGCAGCAUUUUCAAAUAUUUAGCCUAGAACUGGAUGCAUGCUCAAGUACUUAUUCGGACGGAGAUAUGUAGACUGAAGUAGACUAGCUAGAAAUGCUCCGAAUGAGCAAGGCCUAAUUGCUUGAGAUGGUUGUGAAUAUUGGGGGGAUGAUCAUCGAGUUUAGGCCUUUCAGGCUGCACCCAACGCCCGUCUUUGC
rnacentral:lncRNA from 1 species